GCGGAAGUAGCUCAGUGGUAGAGCAUCGCCUUGCCAAGGCGAGGGUUGCGGGUUCCCCCCUACGGGG
rnacentral:tRNA from 1 species